AAUCAACGCUGGCGGCGUGCCUCAGACAUGCAAGUCGAACGCGAAAGUUCCCUUCGGGAGCAAGUAGAGUGGCGCACGGGUGAGUAACACGUAGGUAAUUUGCCUUCGGGUGGGGAAUAACAGUCGGAAACGACUGCUAAUACCGCAUAAUGCAGCGGCUCGACAUCGAGACAGUUGUUAAAGCGGGGGAUCCUUCGGGACCUCGCGCCUGAAGAGAAGCCUGCGGCAGAUUAGCUAGUUGGUGAGGUAAUGGCCCACCAAGGCUACGAUCUGUAACCGGCCUGAGAGGGCGGUCGGUCACACUGACACUGACAUACGGGUCAGACUCCUACGGGAGGCAGCAGUCGGGAACUUUGGGCAAUGGGCGCAAGCCUGACCCAGCAACGCCGCGUGAAGGAUGUAAA
rnacentral:rRNA from 1 species